UCCUGCCGAAGGCUACUGCUAUUGGAGUUCGAUUAAGCCAUGCGAGUCUAAGGGGUACUUGUACCCCUGGCAUAAUGCUCAGUAACACGUGGAUAAUCUACCCUUAGGUGGGGCAUAAACCCGGGAAACUGGGGCUAAUUCCCCAUAGAUACAGAACGCUGGAAUGCCUCUGUAUUCAAAGCUCCGGCGCCUAAGGAUGAGUCUGCGACCUAUCAGGUAGUAGUCAGGGUCACGACCUGACUAGCCAACGACGGGUACGGGGUGUGAGAGCACUUGCCCGGAGAUGGUUUCUGAGACACGAAACCAGGCCCUACGGGGCGCAGCAGGCGCGAAAACUUCGCAAUGCGGGAAACCGUGACGAGGGAACUCCAAGUGUCUAUGCAAUGCAUAGACUGUUUUUCAGCCUAAAUAGCUGUUAGAGUAAGGGGUGGGUAAGACCGGUGCCAGCCGCCGCGGUAACACCGGCACCCCGAGUGGUAGCCACUAUUAUUGGGCCUAAAGCGUUCGUAGCCGGUUUAGUAAAUUCUUGGGUAAAUCGUACAGCUUAACUGUGCGGAUUCCGGGGACACUACUAGACUUGAGACCGGGAGAGAUUAGAGGUACUUGCAGGGGAGCGGUGAAAUGUUGUAUCCUGCAGGACC
rnacentral:rRNA from 1 species